GACGAACGCUGGCGGCGUGCUUAACACAUGCAAGUCGAACGGAAAGGCCCUGCUUUUGUGGGGUGCUCGAGUGGCGAACGGGUGAGUAACACGUGAGUAACCUGCCCUUGACUUUGGGAUAACUUCAGGAAACUGGGGCUAAUACCGGAUAGGAGCUCCUGCUGCAUGGUGGGGGUUGGAAAGUUUCGGCGGUUGGGGAUGGACUCGCGGCUUAUCAGCUUGUUGGUGGGGUAGUGGCUUACCAAGGCUUUGACGGGUAGCCGGCCUGAGAGGGUGACCGGCCCCAUUGGGACUGGGAUACGGCCCAGACUCCUACGGGAGGCAGCAGUGGGGAAUAGUGCACAAUGGGCGGAAGCCUGAUGCAGCAACGCCGCGUGCGGGAUGACGGCCUUCGGGUUGUAAACCGCUUUCGGCUGUGACGAAGCGUGAGUGACGGUAAUGGGUAAAGAAGCACCGGCUAACUACGUG
rnacentral:rRNA from 1 species